rnacentral:rRNA from 1 species
AUUGAACGCUGGCGGCAUGCCUUACACAUGCAAGUCGAACGGUAACAGGUCUUCGGAUGCUGACGAGUGGCGAACGGGUGAGUAAUGCAUCGGAACGUGCCUAGUAGUGGGGGAUAACUACUCGAAAGAGUGGCUAAUACCGCAUGAGAUCUACGGAUGAAAGCAGGGGAUCGCAAGACCUUGUGCUACUAGAGCGGCCGAUGGCUGAUUAGGUAGUUGGUGGGAUAAAAGCUUACCAAGCCGACGAUCUGUAGCUGGUCUGAGAGGACGAUCAGCCACACUGGGACUGAGACACGGCCCAGACUCCUACGGGAGGCAGCAGUGGGGAAUUUUGGACAAUGGGCGCAAGCCUGAUCCAGCAAUGCCGCGUGCAGGAUGAAGGCCUUCGGGUUGUAAACUGCUUUUGUACGGAACGAAAAGCCCUGGGUUAAUACCCUGGGGUCAUGACGGUACCGUAAGAAUAAGCACCGGCUAACUACGUGCCAGCAGCCGCGGUAAAAC